ensembl:snRNA U6 U6 spliceosomal RNA
GUGCUCGCUUCGGCAGCUCAUAUACUAAAAUUGGAAAGAUACAGAGAUUACCAUGGCCCCUGAGCAAGGAUGACAUAAAAAUUUUUGAAGCAUUCCAUAUUGUA